UGUUUUUCCCUGCCAGCACACCCAGGGUCACCGUCCGUCAACAGCUGCAGCUGCUCUGGGCAGGAUUUGGUUAACUUUAGAGGCUGGUCAAGUAGGAAAAUCGCUAAUUUCCCCAAGGAGCCCCAGAGACGCUGCCGGCAGCUGGUCUUCCUCGGAGCAAUGCAAUUUCGGUGCCCACCCUCCCCCCACUGCCAACCCUCAAAAAAUAGAACAUUUCUGGAGCCAAAUUCCAGUGUCCCAACCACGGAGAAGUACUGCAUCUUAGCUGGUUUUUUUUCCGUUCCAACCUGAAACACCAAAAGAAACUCACUGGGUGUCUGAAAAAUACAUGAAUGAAUGUGUGAACAGAUGAAUGAAUGAACAGAGGACAGAACACAUCAAAGCUGUCUGCAGAAGGUGAAAAUCCAAGUAAAAAAGGAACAUAUCAAAGAAGAUUAUCAAAGAGAGAAAGUGGAUGGGAAUCUGUAUCAUUCUCAAGCUGCUUGUGCAAACUGGUCG
rnacentral:lncRNA from 1 species